AUACUCACUUCUGCAGCACAUAUACUAAAAUUGGAACAAUACAGAGAUUAGCGUGAGCCCUGCACAAUGAUACACAAAUUUGUAAAGUGUUCCAUAUUUUC
rnacentral:snRNA from 1 species